CUCCCUCGGACCCGCUCCCAGCGCGGCCCGUGGCGCUCACCUUGCUUGGGAACGUACUCCACCUUGAUUUCUGGAAGACAAAGAAGACUGGACGGUUAGGUCUAAACCAGCAGGCCCCUCACCCCACCUUCGCAGCCCAGAGGAAGAGACUAUGGCGGAAGUGGCAUUGGGCCAGUCUCCAGCCUCGGCCACAGAGGUCUCGUUUACUUCCAUGCUCUCUCAGGACCUCUGCCUCUGCCACAUGAACGUGCUAGCCUGAGCUCACUGGAGGAGGAGGAGGUGCCAUAGGGAGCAGCAUGCUGGGUGCCCAGCUGUCCCAGCUGAGGUCCUGACAGCGCCCACGCAAAGUCAGCAGGGCCCAGGUCCUGCCACCACAGAGAGACGGGGUUUCACCAUGUCAUCCAGGCUGAUCUCGAACUCCUGGGCUCAAGCGAUCCGCCCGCCUCAGCCUCCCAAAUUGCUAGGAUUAUACGUGUGAGU